rnacentral:rRNA from 1 species
AUUGAACGCUGGCGGCAUGCCUUACACAUGCAAGUCGAACGGUAACAGGUUAAGCUGCCGAGUGGCGAACGGGUGAGUAAUGUAUCGGAACGUGCCCAGUCGUGGGGGAUAACUGCUCGAAAGAGCAGCUAAUACCGCAUACGACCUGAGGGUGAAAGCGGGGGAUCGCAAGACCUCGCGCGAUUGGAGCGGCCGAUAUCAGAUUAGGUAGUUGGUGAGGUAAAGGCUCACCAAGCCGACGAUCUGUAGCUGGUCUGAGAGGACGACCAGCCACACUGGGACUGAGACACGGCCCAGACUCCUACGGGAGGCAGCAGUGGGGAAUUUUGGACAAUGGGCGCAAGCCUGAUCCAGCCAUGCCGCGUGCGGGAAGAAGGCCUUCGGGUUGUAAACCGAUUUUGUCAGGGAAGAAAAGGUUCUGGCUAAUACCUGGGACUCAUGACGGUACCUGAAGAAUAAGCACCGGCUAACUACGUG